rnacentral:tRNA from 1 species
UCGCGGGGUAGAGCAGUUGGUAGCUCGUCGGGCUCAUAACCCGGAGGUCGUUGGUUCGAAUCCUUCCCCCGCAAU